UAGCCGAGUCCACUGUUAUGCUUUGUGAACAGGAGGCUGAAAGCUUCAAAUGGCGCUGUCGAACAGACAUCGAAGAUAAACCAGCUGAAAUGAAGGGUGUGAUUCAAGGGCUGCACACUGACCUGAUAGCAAUUUUCUUGGCAUCAUCAACAAGAAGGUAAGUUUCUGUGUCGAGAUAUGCUACAAAGAAAGUGAGAACGAUAUCAAUGGCGAAGAAGCCAUUGACAAUGUUGUCGAAGAUGAAAAGCGCGUCUUGCUUGUAGGGCAGAAAUCCAAACUCAAAUGGGCAGAUCCAGGCAGAGUAGAUGACCAGAAUAAUCAGCAACAUUUCCCAAGCCCUGAAAUGAUGAACAUGAAACGUGAGAGAAGCCGUAAAUGUGGAAGGCAAUCCAGCAACAAACCAAGACAAGGAUCAUAACCUGUAACGGGGACUGAAAGGAGAAAUUAUGUGUUUUUGAAGCUUUGUUGCCUGGUUGAUUCUGGCCCCAAGAGAUGGGAGGAGAUGACUAGAGAAGACGGAACCUAGGCUAGUUCUCUCCAUUUGGAACUCUUCAACACAAAACCGUUGGAAGAAGGCUUUUGCACAAGAAAACGACAUCUUUUUGUAUUUGAAUUCCUCAAAGGCUACAGUAGAGGCUGUUAAACUUCACAGGGUUAUAAAUAGGGAAACCGGUGCGUGCUGACACAGGCACUUUGUAUUUUC